GUCGCGUUCAAUAGCGCGACCGGGUUUGGCGACCCGGAUAAAGAAGGCGGACAGCCGCCUAUUGCGGCAUUUUU
rnacentral:sRNA from 1 species